rnacentral:sRNA from 1 species
GAGCAUUUUCAGUCUUGCAUUCUCUUCCAGCACAAAGCGCUCAGGCCAAGCUGUUUAGGAUGGUAGUGACAUGACAACUAUCAAGCGAUAUAUGGGACAUUUUUUGACAACUCGCUCGAACAGCCGACGCCUAUUACAACGUAUCACAGUAUUACAACUUUAAAAACCCUACAGUGUGGAAAACCAACAACUAUUCUAGAUGAGGAAAGGUACAACGAAAAAUCAAUAGAAGUGACGGAACAUGGGGUUCUUUGAUCCCUCCACCAGAACCUCGGUGGGGACAUCUUUGCUCUGCCAGUUGACGCCUUGAGCUUGAUUUCUCUUUCGGUUGUCGAGGUACAUCCACAUUCGCAAACCGAUGACGAGAAUGGCGGCAAGGCCUUCAAUACCGGCAGUAACAGCGAGGGGGAUGAUGUAGGCGGGAGACCAUUUGUCACGGAAGAUUUGGGCUGUGGAAAUGUCAGUGUGAGAGCCGUGCAGUAGCAAAGAAAGGACUUGCCAGAAACGAUACCACCCAAGUUGGCAAGGAAGGCUGUGUGAGGAAGCUAUUUUAGCCGUAUUUCAUAUGAGUUGAAAGUCCUGGCUUACUGUAAGUACCAACUCGGAAAGCUCGACCAUCUUCAGUAGGGUCGUUACAUUGAUGCCAAGUAUGGAAUAUGACACUUGGAGUAAAAGCGCCCGCGGUGAUUAGGAAAGUGGCAAAGUAAGCUGGGCCAAUGCUCGUAACAGGAAGCGCGACCAAAAGGAUACACCCAAUAAAUACAAAAAUAAGAGAGGAGGCAAGGUGGAAACCUCGUUCACGGAGACGGUCUGAGGACCAAGCGGUGACGCAGAGUGCAAUGGUGCCCACGGCGUAGGGAGCAACGGUGAAGAGAUUAGUUUUGACGGUGGAGUAAUGGAAUCGGCCGAUGAUUUGGGUGAGGAAACUACCGGCUACAGAGGCGGCGACACCAUAACAGAGGGCUAAACACGUUUAUUAGCUGGGGGUUAGCAGUGAGCCGAAAGCGUACAAUUAAACAAACGUACCGAUAGAAGCAAAAACGUGGAACUUCCAAUCCUUUAAAGGCUUGAAGAAGGCCUUCCUGUUGAACUUGGUGUCGAUGGCGGUGGAACCAUCCUUCAAGAUACGAAGUCGGGCAACCUCCUUCUCUCGGUCGGUCAAGAAUGACGCGGUGCUAGGGGACCAUGGGAGCAUGAGGCCGGUAAGGAUGGCGAAGCCGACAGUGAAAGCACCUUCGAUAAGGAAAAGGAUUUGCCAGCCCCAGAGUUUGGAGUUCAUUUGGAAGACGCCGUAGGCGAUAAGGCCGGAGAAAGCACCGGAGAGAGCUUGACAUGAGUAGAAGGCGGCGACUCGCUAUAAACUUUUUGUUCUCCUCUGGUGUAAAAAGUAGUAAGAUAGAAAAUCAAAGAGGCAGCGAAACCAGCUUCAAAGGCACCCAGAACUGUGUGCCACAUCAACCACAUCCAUAAAAUGAAAGCGAGAGUCACUCACUCAAACGAACAACGAGAACACCUGCAAAAUUCUUACAUCCAGCAUUGAUCAUCGCCAUCGCACCCCAGCCAAGCAUAUAACCGGGAAUAGUGAACCUUGGACCAAUUUUUCUUGUGAGCAUGACACCGGGUACGACAAGACAGGCAAAGGGAACGGUAAAGACGUUUGGAUAUUAGGAUUGAUGCAUGGUAAAUCCCAAAAAGGAGUAACGUACCCCAGACGAAAGGCAAGAUAUGCCAAUCGAACUUGCGUACGAUGCAUCGGUUUUCUUCUUUAGUAAACGGAUAUUCAGAUAUCUCGGCCACCUCUUCGAUCUUAGUGACAGAGUGUCGGAAAGCUUUGUCGUCGAUAACCUUGAGUGAUGGUCUUGAUUCCAAUUUGGACAUUGUUGUGGCUAUGAUAAAUGGCCAGAUAGAGGGUGAAUGAUGGAGAUGGACUACAUUAUUGUUAUAUACCAUCACUGCAGAGAUAGGAGAUGGCAUGACAUAAUACCUUAUCUGGAGGCGAUAACCUUCAUACUACUAGCGUUGUAUAUCUUGGCUCGCCUUAUCUUUCGCGGAUAUCCG